rnacentral:rRNA from 1 species
UACGUAGGGGGCUAGCGUUGUCCGGAAUCAUUGGGCGUAAAGCGCGCGUAGGCGGCCCGGUAAGUCCGCUGUGAAAGUCAAAGGCUCAACCUUUGAAUGUCAGCGGAUACUGCCGGGCUAGAGUCCGGAAGAGGCGAGUGGAAUUCCUGGUGUAGCGGUGGAAUGCGCAGAUAUCAGGAGGAACACCAACGGCGAAGGCAGCUCGCUGGGACGGUACUGACGCUGAGGAGCGAAAGCGUGGGGAGCGAACAGG